rfam:Puccinia triticina 1-1 BBBD Race 1 supercont2.163, whole genome shotgun sequence.
GUGUGUUUAGCUCAGUGGUAUAAGAGCAGCUCUCAUGAAUGUAGAGGGGUUGUGGGUUCAAAUCCCACAACACACA